GCCGGGUGUGAUGGCUCACGCCUGUAAUCCCAGCACUUUGGGAGGCCGAGACGGGUGGAUCACCUGAGGUCGGGAGUUCAAGACCAGCCUGGCCAACAUGGUGAAACCCUGUCUCUACUAAAAAUACAAAAAUUAGGCGGGCGGGCUGGGCACAGUGGCUCAUGCCUGUAAUCCCAGCACUCUGGGAAGCUGAAGCAGGUGGAUCACCUGAAGUCAGGAGUUCAAGACCAGCCUGACCAAUAUGGUGAAACCCUAUCUCU
ensembl:misc_RNA Metazoa_SRP Metazoan signal recognition particle RNA